rnacentral:rRNA from 1 species
GACGAACGCUGGCGGCGUGCUUAACACAUGCAAGUCGAACGAAGUGGCGCACGGGUGAGUAACGCGUAAUCAACCUGCCCUUCAGCGGGGGACAACAGUUGGAAACGACUACUAAUACCGCAUACUGAAGGAGGGGCUUGCGUCUGAUUAGCUAGUUGGAGGGGUAACGGCCCACAAAGGCGAUGAUCAGUGGCCGGUCUGGGAGGGUGAACGGCCACAAUGGGACGGAGACACCGCCCAGACGCCUACGGGGGGCAACAGUGGGGAAUCCUCCGAAAUGGACGAAAGGUUGACGGAGCAACGCCGGGUGAGGGAUGACGGCCUUUGGGUUGUAAAGAUUUGUUAAUCGGGACGCGGUACCGGAAUAGAAAGCCACGGCUAACUACGUGCCAGCAGCCGCGGUAAUUC